GAUGAACGCUGGCGGCGUGCUUAACACAUGCAAGUCGAACGGGAAUUAUUUUAUUGCCACUUCGGUCGAUUUAAUUUAAUUCUAGUGGCGGACGGGUGAGUAACGCGUGGGUAACCUGCCUUAUACAGGGGGAUAACAGUCAGAAAUGGCUGCUAAUACCGCAUAAGCGCACAGAGCUGCAUGGCUCAGUGUGAAAAACUCCGGUGGUAUAAGAUGGACCCGCGUUGGAUUAGCUGGUUGGUGGGGUAACGGCCCACCAAGGCGACGACCCAUAGCCGGCCUGAGAGGGUGAACGGCCACAUUGGGACUGAGACACGGCCCAGACUCCUACGGGAGGCAGCAGUGGGGAAUAUUGCACAAUGGGGGAAACCCUGAUGCAGCGACGCCGCGUGAAGGAAGAAGUAUCUCGGUAUGUAAACUUCUAUCAGCAGGGAAGAUAGUGACGGUACCUGACUAAGAAGCCCCGGCUAACUACGUG
rnacentral:rRNA from 1 species